GAUGAAGAACGCAGCGAAAUGCGAUAAGUAAUGUGAAUUGCAGAAUUCAGUGAAUCAUCGAAUCUUUGAACGCACCUUGCGCUCCUUGGUAUUCCAAAGAGCAUGCCUGUUUGAGUAUCAUUAAAUUAUCAACUGUACCAAUUUGGUUGCAGAUUGGAUGUGGGAGAUUUUGCAGGCUUUUGAUUUCUCUUUGAGAAAACGGUCAGCUCUCCUGAAAUAUAUUAGCAGUGCCUUUGUUGGUUCAUUAGGUGUGAUAAUUUAUCUACAUCUUCACAUGGUACCUUCAUUUGUGUAAAGGUCAUAUUGCUUCUAAUUGUCUUUGGCCAUAAAAAAAAAAAACAUAUAAUUGUAUGGAAAACUUGAUCUCAAAUCAGGCAGGACUACCCGCUGAACUUAAGCAUAUCAAUAAGCGGAGGA
rnacentral:misc_RNA from 1 species